rnacentral:rRNA from 1 species
CCAGACUCCUAGGGAGGCAGCAGUGGGGGAUAUUGCACAAUGGAGGAAACUCUGAUGCAGCGACGCCGCGUGAGGGAAGACGGUCUUCGGAUUGUAAACCUCUGUCUUUGGGGAAGAAAAUGACGGUACCCAAAGAGGAAGCUCCGGCUAACUACGUGCCAGCAGCCGCGGUAAUACGUAGGGAGCGAGCGUUGUCCGGAAUUACUGGGUGUAAAGGGAGCGUAGGCGGGCGAGAAAGUUGAAUGUUAAAUCUACCGGCUUAACUGGUAGCUGCGUUCAAAACUUCUUGUCUUGAGUGAAGUAGAGGCAGGCGGAAUUCCUAGUGUAGCGGUGAAAUGCGUAGAUAUAAGGAAGAACACCAGUGGCGAAGGCGGAUGACUGGACGGCAACUGACGGUGAGGCGCGAAAGCGUGGGGAGCAAACAGGAUUAGAUACCCCGGUAG